rnacentral:lncRNA from 1 species
CAUGGGAAGCCACCAAAGCCAUAUUCAAGCGAACCGGAAGCGGCAGCAUUAUGCGUAGAGUGCGUGCGUUUGAUGUGAACAGAGUUUCAGAAGAAAACAUGACAGAAGUCGGUCUUAUUGUCGCCAAAUAUGACGAGGAUACAAUGCGUGCUGCCAGUGCUGGGGCGGCAACGUUCUAUAAAUGGAUUGACAGUGUGGUUCAAGAAAAGACGAAUUGAAAGAGAGGGAUGGUCAAAGACAACUUGCAGAUGUGAAAAAAAAAACAGAGAAAAGACUACUUGAUGUUGAUAGAACAGAUGACUUUAAUUAAUAAACAUGAUUAUCUUUUUUUUUUUGCAGAAAAUGGUGUAUUUAUACAUAUAACCAAUGUAUAUUCUGUUGGGUGUAGCUUUUAAUCAAUUAUGAGAUUGUCUAUGAACUUCGUUGUCGUUUUCAGGCAUACGGCCAUGAAAAAGAAUUCAUCAAUUUGUGACCGAAUUUUUUUUAACUUCAUAUUUUCCUUAGGAAAUUAAAAGCAGGAUUCAAAAGCCAAAAAAAAAAAAAAAAAAAAAAAAAUACACAGGAGUUUUAUAAUUAAAUACAUAGACAUGUUCAAGUUCAAAAAAACAACUGUGACUGCAUAGGUACAUUUUUGUUAAUUAAGAAAAUGAACCCGUAACUAAACUCAGCAAUUUCCAAUUCGGAAUUCUUCGGAUUUAGAUGUAGUGGCUUUCAGUAAAACAGAGAACGCCGAACUCACUUAAAACGUAAUUUGUAAGUUGCCAGUUCAGAUUCAUCCCCUUACGCACAUUUACUCAUGUAAGAGCUCAUUUACUCAUGUAAAUAAUACUACCCUAUACAUAAUUAAAACCCACAUUUUACUUUAAAGGUUUUUUUUAUCCAAUUAUUCGUUUAAUGUACAACAUAUUUGAGUUGUGUAAAUGUUUUUGUUAUUGCUUCUCUGUUAUAUACGUUUUGUCUUAUUUCAUGAUGUCUUUUAUGUUAUCAAUCGUGUGUGCUCAUUCUCAAGCGUAAGAUUGAUUUUAAAUGCAUUAUUUGAUAGAUAGGCUUGUCAUGUUUGUAAAAUGCCCUAUUGAAUGUUUUAUCUGUAAAAGCACGCUAUUCAACAUAAAAAAGUAAACCCAUUAAGUGGAAUAUGUUGACAAUUUCUCUUUUUGUGUGCAUAUGAUCGUUAGAUUGCUGCAAGUUUAAUUGAAAUUCUAUUAUUUGCAUGAUUUUACAAAUCACGAAAAUCCGGGUAUAACUGAGCUGAUAAACUCUACGCUUGCUUGCAAGUGAAUAUGAAAGUAAAAAGAAUGUUAAUGACUUUCUCUUCAUUGACAUUGAUUUCUUAUAAAGGCCAUGGUAGUGUACAUCAUUAUUAUAUUGAUGAACGUAACAAAAUAAUAAGGGCAUUGAAAUAUGAGUCAGUAAACUCGGCAAACGAGAAGUCAGGAACGACGUUUUACUUUGCUACAUGUUAUUCAAAUUCUUUAUCGUUCAGGUCCAGCUUUGAACACGUGAACUCAAAAACCAUAAAAAUAAAAAUGCUCAGUC